rnacentral:rRNA from 1 species
AUUGAACGCUGGCGGCAGGCCUAGCACAUGCAAGUCGAACGGUAACAGGAAGAAGCUUGCUUCUUUGCUGACGAGUGGCGGACGGGUGAGUAAUGUCUGGGAAACUGCCUGAUGGAGGGGGAUAACUACUGGAAACGGUAGCUAAUACCGCAUAACGUCGCAAGACCAAAAAGGGGGACCUUCGGGCCUCUUGCCAUCGGAUGUGCCCAGAUGGGAUUAGCUAGUAGGUGGGGUAACGGCUCACCUAGGCGACGAUCCCUAGCUGGUCUGAGAGGAUGACCAGCCACACUGGAACUGAGACACGGUCCAGACUCCUACGGGAGGCAGCAGUGGGGAAUAUUGCACAAUGGGCGCAAGCCUGAUGCAGCCAUGCCGCGUGUAUGAAGAAGGCCUUCGGGUUGUAAAGUACUUUCAGCGGGGAGGAAGGGAGUAAAGUUAAUACCUUGCUCAUUGACGUUACCCGCAGAAGAAGCACCGGCUAACUCCGUG